UUGACCUCGGAUCAGGUAGGACUACCCGCUGAACUUAAGC
rnacentral:rRNA from 1 species